rnacentral:lncRNA from 1 species
GGGCUAAAAGAAUGGCGUCUUUGGGUGUGUCGGAAAUGCUUGGUACUCCUCUUAACUUCAGGGCAGUUUCAAGAUCGUCUGCUCCGUUGGCAUCAAGCCCGGCCACGUUCAAGACAGUUGCUCUGUUCUCCAAGAAAAAGCCAGCUCCUGCUAAGUCUAAGGCCGUCUCUGAGACUAGCGACGAGCUCGCCAAGUGGUAUGGUAUGUGUCUUCUACUUCUCAUUCACAAUCUUUUUUGCUCUGUUCUCUAUGAAUGUGUUUGUAAUUGUGGCUCUUAUGCAGGUCCUGACAGGAGAAUUUUCUUGCCUGAUGGUCUUUUGGACAGAUCAGAGAUCCCAGAGUACUUAAACGGUGAAGUUGCUGGAGAGUAAGACACUUCUUCAUGUCUCUCUUUGUAUCUAUGCUUUUACUUUGGAUUUGGUGUUUAAGGUUUAUUGGAAUAAAAUUGCAGUUAUGGUUAUGACCCAUUUGGUCUUGGAAAGAAGCCUGAGAACUUUGCUAAGUAAGUAGAUUCUGUUUAUCGUAAACCUUUUAUUGUUUGCUUCGAGCUCUAUCUAUCGAAUUCGUUGUUAAUUGGUUCUUUAAUGAAUGUGGUUGUAGAUACCAAGCCUUUGAAUUGAUCCAUGCGAGAUGGGCUAUGUUAGGAGCAGCUGGUUUCAUCAUCCCUGAAGCUUUAAACAAAUACGGCGCUAACUGUGGCCCCGAAGCUGUCUGGUUUAAGGUUCUUGCCUACUUCUAAUCUUUAUGAACGUUUAGAUUCUAUAGCAAAUGAAGAAUGUGUGAAGUGAUGGGAUAGAUCUUAUUGAAUACUGAUGCA